rnacentral:lncRNA from 1 species
AGGUGUCCUAUUUGUUACUGGGAGAGUGGUGUUAAAGUUUCCAAUGAUUCUGUGCAGCAAAACAAGGAAAACAUGUAACAAACAGACCAACCCAAAAUAGGUAAGUUGUAUUUGAUCACUUUCAUAACAACUUGUACACUGUGUGUUAUCACUAAGUUAUAUAACAAACAUAUCCAUAUUGUUUUCAUUUUUGCAUUUUUUCAUUGCUCCCCAAAAUCAUUUGCAAAGCACUAAAGAGAUGCUAAAUAGUUAUAUGACUUAUCUAGGAUCACACAGCUAUUAACUGCUUGAACCUAACAAACAUAAUUGAUUUCAAUUGAUUUAAACUGAAAUUCACUAACUAAUUCAACCAACACUGACUGCAUGCCAGACUCUGGUAAUAUAAUGGUGAGCAAAAAGAUGCUGAGCUUGGAUUAAAACUGCCUUAUAGAUGCUGGUGGAAAGACAGACACAUUUAACCUGACCAGGAGGGAUAUUGAUCAGGCUUUGAUUGGCCAGAGAAACUAAGAAAGGGUGCAGAAAUAAGGUCAUAUGGAUAACCAAAGUAGCUAAGUCAGAGAAAAGUAGAGGAUGGGAGAAUGGUUAAGAGGGAAAACGAAUGAAUGAGAUAUUCAGUUUGAGGCAGAUAACAGACACAAAAUAGAGGACACAUCUAUGACCAAAAAUUAUUGGAAAUAAUUUCUUAUCCUUUCUCGUAAGAGUCAUUACCAUGAGAAUUAAUUACAAUUCACACCCAAUUUCCAAAAAAAUAAUUAUGGUUUGAAAUGUAUUUUCAUUUUUCAUUAACACUUACUCUUUUGUCUCAGUCUAAGAAUCUAAGGAAUACUGCAGUAAAUCCAGACAAUGAACUUCAACAGCCAGAUUUUGAUGUCUGAUUAAAAGCUACAAAAUAUGUGUGUGAAUGUUUGCAACUCCAUGCCUUCAGCCUUAAGAGUGAAAGUCAUACCCUACACUUUCCCUUAGUAGCUAAUUAUGGAAAGUUUGAUCUAAAAGUGAUACCCAUCUUGAAUACAUUUAUAUUCAUUUCACCUUGGGCAUAGCAUUCCUCAAUUCAUCACUCAUUUAAUAUUGUACUACUUUCAUUUCUGGUUGUAACAAUUUUCUUUAAAUAUCAAGAGUUACCUUCAUACCUAUUCAGUGAUAACAUUUGGAAUCUAAAUGCUUAUUGUCUCUACUCAUUUAUAUUUAUAGAAGUAUCAGUAACAUUAGUUUUCAUUUUUACCAGAAAAGUCUUAGCUUAUUUGAUGGUCUCAUAAUUUACCAGGAACAUAUCUAUUAUUUUCUUUCAGAUACAGUUCUAUGUUCAAUAACAGUUUUAUGAUUGUGUGGUAGAAGAAACAUCAGCAUACUUCUUUAUAAUUACUUUAUUCUUCAUUACUACUUUAAAGUUACCUUCAAGCCAUUCAUUCAAUGUAAUUUUAAAUACCUACUGUAUGCCAUCUACUAUUCAUUUAAUUCAGCAACAUGUUGAUUUUGUUCCCUCUCUUUUAAAGGAGAUUUAUUUUGUCUUGCCAUAGAAGAAUCCAGAAAGAUUAAAAGCCCAUGUAUUCUAGCAAUAGUUACCAGAAAAUUUUUUACAAUACAUGACUCUAACAUGCCAGAAGAAAACUGCAUUGAAAAUGAUAUAGUCUAAUAAGAAAUACAUUUGAAAUUGAAAAUUAAGUAUACUUUUGCAUAUCCUGAUCUGCUACUAUGCCUGCUUCAUUUGCAUGCAAAUAAGGGUUCAAUAACUAUUUUAAUUGCUAUAUUCUCCCAAAAGCAAGGAAAGAAGAUUCAAAAUAUAUGUAUUAUUUUGUAUGGGGAAGAAUGUUAAUAUUCACCAAAUAAUUACCUAAUUUACAUAGUGAUUAGACUCAUCUGCAAUAAAGUAUUUUUAUAAAUAUACAGAGAGAACAUUAGACGUUGUGAAAUUUGACAAGUGAAAUAACAAGCAAAUCUAAUAAGGAAAAUUGUAUGCAGGUGAAAGACUUCUAGUACAUUAUUUUUAAUAUAACUUUAUUACCAGUGUCAGAAUAAUAAGUCAAAUCCUUAAGCAUUCUGUGCAUCAUAUUUGGUAGGUGAGAGGGGAAAAGCAAAUAUAGUUAAAAAAAUAUUGAACAUGAUCAAACACAUCUGAAAGAGAUAAAUUCCUCAGGGAAGAAUUUCCACCUACAUAAUUUCAAGUGGAGUAAUCUAUUUUCUAAUUAGCAAGGAAAAAAUCCCCUGUAUAUGACCUUGAAUUCUAAAAUAUUAGCUCAGAGGGAAUAUUUACAAUCCAGAGGCUCAGAUGCAUAAUGAAAAUACGGACAUGACUUUUACUGUUGUUAAAGUUCUUUUUAAAUCAUUCUUGGGCAUAAUCAGCCUAUGUUGACUGACAUUUAUAGUAUGGAAAUUGGCUGGAAUACAAAUGCAAUGGCGUUUGAAAUUAGAAAACACAUUACUGAGAAGGCAGGUUAAAUAUUUGUGGUGUUUAAAGCCAUUUUUCUUGGUAGAACCAAUACCUUUGUUCAUUUUGAUCAAGCUUAUAUUCUAAAUGGGUUUUACACAUUGAAAUUAUUUUAGUUCUCUAAUGCUACUUUGUCAGAUUAUAGGUAGUUGUUAUUCAUUUCAGAGAAAUGUGUUUUUCAGCUUUCAACAUUCUAAGUAUGAUAAAGGAGGGAAGGCUGUAGGAUUUAAACAUGGUGAGUUUGUCAGUUAGGAAUGUGUGUGAAAAGAACAAACAGCUUGAAUCAAGGAAUCAGCAAACUGACUGGAUUGUGAAUGUUCUUUUCACUUACUUGUUUGUGGUUUUAUAGUGACCAAGAAACAAUAAUUGUAAGAUGAACAGGGAGGCUGAGAAGUGUCUAUGAAGAAUGAAGAAACCUAACAAAAAUGUCCAGUUUAUAACCUUUCUCCCCAGAAUCUAGGACAAGAUAGACAUUCCCAAGUUUCUGGGAGAAUCCUGAGGUGCUGUCUGCACUGACUUGGAAACUAAAAUCAUAAGGGAGAGGAUGCCACCGCAAAAUCUAUCUGAAUUCUGGAGUCAGCCAGACCUGAGUUGGAAUCUGACUCCUUCAUACAUUAUCUGAUCCUAGGAAAUUACCAUUUAGAAGUUCAGGUUCAUGUACAAUGAGAAUGACAAUUAUUUCUUUCAGGGUUAUUUUGAGUUUGUAGAACAUGGCCAAUUUAAUAAAUAAUGGCAAAUGCAAAAGGUUCAGGAACCUAGAAUCCUGGGAUAGUUCUCCCUUCAGCAGCCAGCUUUCCUUAUCCUUUUGAGAUACAAGGAUUCUCCAUCUGUGAUUGUUUCUCUGGUAUGUUUAAGAGAGCUGACAUGUAACAUCUGCAAGGGUUACAACAUUUGUGUGUUUUGAAAUUACUUAAUGUAAUAAUAUGAAAUAAAACUGUGAUUAUAACUUCUACAAUUAUAAAAUGUUUAUUUGUCUAAAUGCCCAUUCAUGUGAGAUUAUGCUAACUUUUGGUAUGAAGUUUUAUUGUACCUGAUACAUAGUUGCAACUGAAAUUUAUCAGAAGUGCAAAUUCUCUAAAAGUAGAGAAUUCACUCUGAGAAACUUCAGAGUAUUCUAGGCACUGAAGAAAUUUCUGUGAUGGGAAAAGAAUAAGAAAGGUGACACUCAGGAGAAUAAUCCUGUACAAACUCAUCCAGAGAAUGAAAAAUGUGGGAAUAUCUCCAAAUAAUUAUGUAAGGCCUUCAUAGCCUGAUAUCAAAACCAAAAAAGUACAUUGCAGGUCAAACAAAAUACUGGCAAGGGGAAUUUUUCCAAAGAAUGCAAGGGAGGCUAAGCAUUAAAAAAUCUAUAAAUAUGACUCUCCAUAUUAAAAGAUUAAGGGAGAAAACAACACAGAGAUGCUUUAAAAGCAUCAAAUAUUAUUUAAUACUCAUCUGUAAUUUGAAUUAUUUGCAUGCUAACUUUAAAAGGAAAAUUUCUUAAGUAAAUAACUGGCACCUAUAAAAACAUCAGUAAAGAAGAAACCAUUCAAAAUAUAGUGUUAGGACAAUUAUUUAUUCUAGAAAUCCACACUUUGAAAAGCCUGUUUAUUCUUUACGAUGUAUUUGUCAUGAAACCAGAGCAAAUGUCAUAAAUUGUCUGUGGUACAGAAUCAUAAUCUCUAUAAAGGGGCUGUUGCCUGACCCCUGUCUAACUUAAUGAGAUGAAUUCAAUUAAAGGAGAAAGAAGCUAAUCUAUCCCUGUGCUCAUAGUCAUUGUAAAAAACAGAAAGGAUUGUUUUUUCAUGCACUUAUGUUGAUAUUGCUUCUGUGAUCUUGCACCUCAAUUACUCCUGCUGUCAAAGUAGAUAAUAUUGCUUUAGCCCUUGGUACCUUGAAUGUGGCGGGAGAACAGGGCAGCACCAGCAUCACAUGGGAGCUGAUUAAAUAUGCAGAAUCUCAAUCAGACUCCACCCCGGACCUACUGAAUCAGAGUCUGCAUUUUAACAAGGUCCCAGGGCAUUUAUCUGCACAUUGUAAAGCAAGAGAAACACUGCUCUAGGCUACUGAUCUUCCUGCCUUCAGAAACACUGGGAAGAUCAUUAAUCCCCAAGAAGAAUUUUACUUUUGGUGUAGAGCGUACAAUGUUUGCAAAUAUUUUCAGAUUUUUUGUUUAUAUUAUCUGAAGGUGUGGGAAUUUAUCAGCAACCUUCUCCAUAAUGGUGAUUAAAUAACAGACAAAAAUUAUUAAAAAUAUUUACCUGUCCAAGGCACUGUCCUAAGCAUUUUCAAUGCAUUUAUUCAUUUCAUUUUUCCACUUCAUCUAUGAGUUGCGUUACUCCACUGCACAGAAGAGGAAACAGAGAGACUAAAGAUGCUAGAUGAAAGCUGUUAGGAUC